AUAAACUCGUAAUUACUCCUGCUCGGGUUUGAGUUACAGCAGAGAGACUCGCCCACCGUCUCACAGACCACCCCCUCACAGUAUUCAGCACAGAAGCGGUCGAAAGUGGACAAAAGAGACGGAUUUAAAUACCAGGUGUAAACGUAAUGUGUCUCUCUCGUCCACUUGUGAUCCGAUCGAUGAAAACACAUUUUAAUACCAAGUGUAAACAGCCCCUUACAGUAUAGAAUGAAGUUGACUUAUUUCAACUUUAUUUCAUAAGUUCAACUUUUAUUUCACAACUCGUCUCUUGUCAAGAUAAAUAAUAGUAGGCUAAGUUAAAAUUACUUAUAAAUCCGAGUUGAUUAAACCAAAAAUUUUAAGGCAGCAAAGUUUUUUACAGUGCACUGUGCAAAUGUUAAACAUUUGCUUCUCAGGGAAAAGACAUACAGUAAAAAAUGUAUACUUUGAAUGCACCAUCACUUAAAAUGUCAGCCAUAUAAAUAAAUGUUAUAUUAUUAAGUUAACUGCAUGUUUUGUGUAUCUGGUAGUUUAAAUAGCCUACUUAUCUUUAAAUUGCUAAAAUAAGUUUUUCUUUAUAAUUUUUUAUACAGAAUUCAUUGAGCUCCAUAGUCACAGGUUUAUUUUUGCUGUGUUAACUGCAGGCACAGUCCCAAGACCAAAAACCAAAACAAGUUUCACAGCUCCCAUAAGCUUCUGUGUAAAGAAGAUCCUCUGUUCAUAUUCUUUGGCAGAAAAACGUGGACAGCCCUUGUUUACAACAAUGCAACAAUAUCAACAUAGACAUCGACAACUGACAUAUCGAACAUCUAUUUAAACUGUCAAGAUGUUGAAUAUAUGAUGACAACAGAAGGCUUAUUUUGCACGAGGUUCACUUACUGCCUUUAAAGGAGAUCUUCACACAGACAGACAGGAACCCAAUGCUGAGAAACUUUUUGUCACAGUGCAAACUCAUAGUGAGUAACAUUCACACAUUUACAUCUCAGGAGAACGAGCAGCAAACGCCUGCCGCAUUUGAAGUAGGAAACUGAGAAACCUCAAGCGAAGUCUCUGCCGUGGACUGAAACUUGUGUCUCAUUGUAAGUUGAAUGAGUGAAAAUGCCGUUGAAACCUCAGACUUCAUCUCUGUACUCCAUCAGCUGCUGAGUCAACAGUGUUUGUGUAGUCAUCCGAGUGCCGAACAACUCAAAUGAGACGCAUCGAAAGUGGAUUCCUGACUAAGAUUGUUAACUGAAAAUUUAACAGCAUAACAGAGACAUUUAAACUUUGUUUCUUUGCACAUUGUUAUAUCUCACAGUAUAAUGUAUCUGUAUAAAUCAGACAUAGGCCUACCUUAGAUAUCAAAGAUAUUUCUCCACUGCUGUCCCAUAACUUUGGCUCAAAAUCCAGAGAAAUGUCACAUUUGUGUCAUGCAUUUUUCAGUUGGUGGUUGUUUUAUCUCAGUCAUUACUAAAACAUCAUUACAGGCUGUUACACAUAAAAGUACAUCAAAACCAAAAUAAAGUG